rnacentral:rRNA from 1 species
ACGGAAGGCAGCAGCUAAGAAUAUUCCGCAAUGGACGAAAGUCUGACGGAGCGACGCCGCGUGGAUGAUGAAGGCCGGAAGGUUGUAAAAUCCUUUUAUGACUGAGGAAUAAGUGGAGUGAGAGAAACGCUUCAUGGUGACUGUAGGUCAUGAAUAAGCAACGGCUAAUUACGUGCCAGCAGCCGCGGUAACACGUAAGUUGCGAGCGUUGUUCGGAAUUAUUGGGCGUAAAGGGCAUGUAGGCGGUUUUGCAAGCUUGGUGUGAAAUCCCGGAGCUUAACUCCGGAAUUGCGUUGAGAACUGCAUGACUAGAGUCACUGAGGGGCAAUCAGAAUUCCAGGUGUAGGGGUGAAAUCUGUAGAUAUCUGGAAGAAUACCAAUGGCGAAGGCAGGUUACCAGCAGAUGACUGACGCUGAGGUGCGAAGGUGCGGGGAGCAAACAGGAUUAGAUACCCUGGUA